rfam:Clostridium sp. CAG:492 genomic scaffold, scf59
UAAUUUAUAAAUAAAUAGCCAAAGAAAGUAGGCAACAGUAAGUCCUACCGAGGCAUAUAAUGAACGGAUUUAUCCAAUCUUUAUAAUGCCUUUGAGCUAUGAAGAUUGGAUUUAUUUUUGCAAAU